AUAUUUCAGUGAAAUUCCAGAAUUUCUCGAAAACAAAAAUAAGAUUUUGCCAUGUGAAUCAGCUGAAGAGCUAUCUACAACACUUGUCAGAUUCACAAGAGUCACAAGACGUGACUCAGAAGACAAAGAAAGUCUAAAGAGGUGGUACUGGCCACUGGUGAAGUGUGUGACUGUGAGGGUGCCUCAAAAUGAUCUUCUCCAGCAUGUCACACUUGUGGAUCUUCCUGGAAAUGGGGACCGUAACAAGAGCAGAGACGAGAUGUGGAAAAAGUUAGUUGGAAGUUGUUCUACUGUGUGGAUUGUGACUGACA